CUGCAGCUCGAGUGGUGAUCACUAUUAUUGGGCCUAAAACGUCCGUAGCCUGUCUUAUAAAUGCCUGGGUAAAUCGUGCCGCUUAACGGUACGAAUUCCGGGUAGACUGUAAGACUUGAGACCGGGUGAGGCUAGAGGUACUCCUGGGGUAGAGGUGAAAUUCUGUAAUCCUAGGGGGACCACCAGUGGCGAAGGCGUCUAGCUAGAACGGGUCUGACGGUGAGGGACGAAGCCCUGGGGCGCAAACCGGAUUAGAUACCCGAGUAGUCC
rnacentral:rRNA from 1 species